rnacentral:lncRNA from 1 species
GCUUGAGCAGAGGGAAAUAUGCAACCUUGUGACCCUGACUCAGAAUAGCCAAACUCCAUCUGCUCUGAAACUUUAAAUGGAUUUUAUCCAGGGAAAGCUCAGAAACUGCAAGUACAGAAUUUCACAAAACCAGAGAAGAAUGAACAGGAACACUUCCAAGUAGGAGGUAAUUGAUGAGCCAUCACAUCAGUGAGGAGGUACUUCCAUGCUGCAUUUCUUGGCUGCUGCAAGAAGCCCAGCUUCUUCUGUUUAGUGCCUAAG